rnacentral:antisense_RNA from 1 species
AGUAACUGGCAUUUGGUUACGGGGUGGCCGUUUUUCUGCGUGGACCAAGCAGGGUCCCAGUUCAAGUUUCUGCUGCGUAUCUGAUAAUCUUGAGGUAUUUAUGAAGGACUCCUUUGAAAGUUCUCUACUGAGUUUCCUUAAGGAAUUGGAAUAUUUUCUACAGGAAUUAGGAGUGUGACUUCAGGAAUGGCUUAUUCCAAGUUGUAAAACUAUCCCCUGUCAUGAAGAGUUUCUCUCUUGACACCUAGGCUGGAAUGCAAUGGCGCAAUCUCAGCUGACUGCAACCUCCACCUCCGAGGUUCAAGCAAUUCUCCUGCCUCAGCCUCCUGAGUAACUGGGAUUACAGGCGCCCGCCACCACACCUGGCUAAUUUUUGUAUUUUUAGUAGAGAUGGGGUUUCAGCAAGUUGGCCAGGCUGGUCUCAAACUCCUGAGCUCAAGUGAUCCACCCGCCUAGGCUUCCCAAAGUGCUGGAACUAUAGGCGAGACCAAUUUGUUGAAUUGGACAGCUGGAAGCAAGGAAGGGAAAAAGUAUUUCACCGAAAAGGCAGAAGACUGGCAUCAAUUGCAAGCUGUGGAAUCAAGACAACUUUGGCUGAGUCCCAUUUUAUAUAGGACUAAAGGAGAGUGCUGUCCUCAAGGGCAAUAAUACUUAUGAGAACAAAGAAGACUAUGGAGAAAUUUUAGGCAGUAGAAGAGAGCAGAAAGGCCAAGAGGAUCAGGGUU